rnacentral:rRNA from 1 species
CCGAUGAGGUGGAAACGGACAGAGCUGGCGUAUCUGGCCUGCAUUCAGCCGCUGCGCGUCGGGCCCCGGUUUGCCGCACUCCAGAUUGGGAAGGUGGCUGGGCUGCUGGCGUGCUGGUGGUGCAUUUGCAGGUGGAGUGCGCCGAGGCGCUCGGUUCAGCGGCAUGAGCUCGGCUUUGAGGCCAGUCGCGCAAGCGGUCUGGUACCCGGGUCGGGGGAGUGUUGUUUGGGCUGGGUGUUCGCUGGGGCACAGGUUUCGGGCCCGGGUGGGUGCCGAGCUGGCGGUCGGCGGCGGUCGCGUGCGACACGUGCCAGCAGUCAGUUCGGUCCUGCUCGAGCUCUCUCGUGUCCGGCCUCGGUGUAAAAGCCGGUCAUCUGUCCGACCCGUCUUGAAACACGGACCAAGGAGUUUAGCGUGUGCGCGAGUCAUUGGGUGUUGAAAACCCAGAGGCGUAAUGAAAGUGAAGGUCUGCCUUGUGCAGCUGAUGUGUGAUCCUGGGCGCUGCGGCGCCCGGGCGCAACAUAGUCCCGUCCCGACUGCAUGCAGUGGGGCGGAGACAGAGCGUACGCGCUGAG